UACGGGGGGGGCAAGCGUUGUUCGGAAUUACUGGGCGUAAAGGGCUCGUAGGCGGCCAACUAAGUCAGACGUGAAAUCCCUCGGCUUAACCGGGGAACGGCAUCUGAUACUGGAUGGCUUGAGUUCGGGAGAGGGAUGCGGAAUUCCAGGUGUAGCGGUGAAAUGCGUAGAUAUCUGGAGGAACACCUAUAGCGAAGGCAGCUUGCUGGGACGUUACUGACGCUAAGGCGCGAAAGCGUGGGGAGCGAACAGG
rnacentral:rRNA from 1 species